UCCUACGGGGGGCAGCAGUGGGGAAUAUUGCACAAUGGGGGAAACCCUGAUGCAGCGACGCCGCGUGAGUGAAGAAGUAUUUCGGUAUGUAAAGCUCUAUCAGCAGGGAAGAAAAAAAGUCCUUUGGACUUUGGACGGUACCUGACUAAGAAGCCCCGGCUAACUACGUGCCAGCAGCCGCGGUAAUACGUAGGGGGCAAGCGUUAUCCGGAUUUACUGGGUGUAAGGGAGCGUAGACGGCAGCGCAAGUCUGAAGUGAAAUCCCAUGGCUUAACCAUGGAACUGCUUUGGAAACUGUGCAGCUG
rnacentral:rRNA from 1 species